rnacentral:tRNA from 1 species
UCCCCCAUAGCUCAGUUGGCAGAGCAUCCGACUGUUAAUCGGAAGGUCACUGGAUCGAGACCAGUUGGGGGAG